rnacentral:tRNA from 1 species
GAAGGUAUAGCUCAGUGGAAGAGCACAUGCUUAGCAUAACACAAGGUCCUAGGCUCAAUCCCCAGUACCUCCA